rnacentral:rRNA from 1 species
GAUGAACGCUGGCGGCGUGCCUAAUACAUGCAAGUCGAGCGAACAGACGAGGAGCUUGCUCCUCUGACGUUAGCGGCGGACGGGUGAGUAACACGUGGAUAACCUACCUAUAAGACUGGGAUAACUUCGGGAAAGCGGAGCUAAUACCGGAUAAUAUAUUGAACCGCAUGGUUCAAUAGUGAAAGACGGUUUUGCUGUCACUUAUAGAUGGUUCCGCGCCGCAUUAGCUAGUUGGUAAGGUAACGGCUUACCAAGGCAACGAUGCGUAGCCGACCUGAGAGGGUGAUCGGCCACACUGGAACUGAGACACGGUCCAGACUCCUACGGGAGGCAGCAGUAGGGAAUCUUCCGCAAUGGGCGAAAGCCUGACGGAGCAACGCCGCGUGAGUGAUGAAGGUCUUCGGAUCGUAAAACUCUGUUAUUAGGGAAGAACAAAUGUGUAAGUAACUAUGCACGUCUUGACGGUACCUAAUCAGAAAGCCACGGCUAACUACGUG